rnacentral:rRNA from 1 species
UACGAAGGGGGCUAGCGUUGCUCGGAAUCACUGGGCGUAAAGCGCACGUAGGCGGGUCUUUAAGUCAGGGGUGAAAUCCUGGAGCUCAACUCCAGAACUGCCUUUGAUACUGAGGAUCUCGAGUCCGGGAGAGGUGAGUGGAACUCCGAGUGUAGAGGUGAAAUUCGUAGAUAUUCAGAAGAACACCAGUGGCGAAGGCGGCUCACUGGCCCGGUACUGACGCUGAGGUGCGAAAGCGUGGGGAGCAAACAGG